GACUGUGUAGUAUAGUGGUCCAGUACCCAGGACUUUGAAUCCUGUAACCCGAGUUCGACCCUCGGCACGGUCU
rfam:Lobosporangium transversale strain NRRL 3116 BCR41scaffold_36, whole genome shotgun sequence.